GAUCCUUAGGGAGUUCCCUGAACAGUAAACAUUCCGGUCACUCACUGGAAGGGUAUGUCUUAUCAUUGGAAGUAGUAAGUCGGCAUUUGAUACAUUACUGUCUUAUGAGUUUGGUUCCUAUAAUUCAGAAGCAGGAGCUCAUCACGGAGGCUGAAGCAAGGCUGAGAUCGUAGGAUUUUACCUCCUUUGAGGGCCUUGUCGAAUAGUCAGCUGACCUCCAGCUACAGCUUCCCUACCAUGUCUGUAACUUCAAAGUGCUCGUCAAUGGCAGGUAGACCUCGAAGCAUAUCCAUCAGCACUGUUCAGGGGCCUUAGCACCGCAGUUGAUGUGAAACGUGCCAAAAUGAAGAUAAGAAGUGUUACAACUGAAUAUAGUCGAGCAUAGUGGUAGUAGUGUGAACUUACAAGAGCUACUCCCUGGCUCCAGUGUCCCUUCUCCACAUUCUCGCCCUAUGCCCUCACAGCCUCAGCUUCCUUAUCACAGUAAGAACUGAACUUGUUGGGAUAUUCUGAGAAAUAACACAUAUGAAACCCUUAAUACAAGAACCAUUCGGUAAACAUUGGCCAUUAUUUCCAAACUCAGCUCUACUUUGAAAAUCCAAUGAUGGCUAUUCCAACUUUCAACUGCUCUUCUAAUGCCUCUCCUAAAUCCUGACUUCUAUUUUUAUUUUUAUUUUUUUUUUAGUUAUUUAUUCAUGAGAGACCCAGAGAGAGGGAGAGACACAGGCAGAGGGAGAAGCAGGCUCCCUGAGGGGAGCCCGAUGGGGGUCUCGAUCCAGACCCGGGAUCCCGCCCUGAGCUGAAGGCAGACACUCAACCACUGAGCCACCCAGGCGCCCCAUGAUUUUUUUUUUAACUCUGUCAGCUUCCACUGUAUUUCCAUGAAUGAUGGGAUUUCAAUGUCUUUAGUCAAAGAAGGCCGAUCCUUGCCCAUAAAGAAAGAGUUAACGGUUUUGAGCAGAGUUACUCAUAGUAUAAAAGUUUUGUCUUGAAAUUGGUUCAAGCAUUCAUUUAUUCACAAUUUAAGAACUUGUACUCAUUCAGUCAGGGCCUGUGGUGGCAGGGGUGUUGGGGGAGGGAGGUGUCAGGAAAGUCAAAGCCGGCCUAGGGUUUUUUUCCUCUUUACACUUUACCUGCUGCCUGCUUGCAGAUAAAGCUAGGAUUUGUGAUGCUAAACCUUUGAUACGAUCAGUGUUUGGAAGUUGCUACCCCCAACUUAUAAUUUACUUUCAUAGACUCUAGAAUUAUCUUCAGCAUUUUUGAUGUUGCUGAUUAUAGAUGACCUCAAGCAAAAAAAAAAAAAGUCCCUCCUGUAUCAGCCAGAGCCUGACAGGGAGGUGGGGGUAGAGUCAGUACCUCCAAAUAUUUCACUGUUAUUUCCAGACCCCUCACAAGCAUCCUUCAUCCAGGUCUCGGCCUUACUACACAGCUGCAUGUGCCUGGUGAACCUUAAGGAAAAUGGGGUCAUCAGAGACAGGCGGGGCGGGGGGGCGUGCCUCUGUCAGCUUGGCCUGGUAAGGUUACGUAGCAGCCCAUCAGACGUGGCCGUGAUGGCUCAAGGAGGGAGAGCCAUCCUUGUCUCCCUUAAGUCAGGGUUGGAGCUAGCCUGGAAAGCCAGCUGUGGAGGCAGAAACCACCCUGGGAACUGGAGGGCAGCCCCAUCCGCCGUCUGCAGCAUUGCCCCAUCGGGCGGCAGCAUCCUUACACAGAAGGUACUGGUGGCUUUGAAAUCUAAGUUCAAAUACUACCUUGCUGGCUCCUAAUGAUGUGAGCCCGGCAGUUUAACCUGUCACAGUCCCUGGUGUUCAACAUGGUUGGAGAUCCGCCCUGUGUUCCUCAGGGACUCCACUGUGCCCCGGGACUGCACAGUAGUUAGCUGUUUACAUUCACUCUCCCCAGUGUACCAUGAGUUCCUUGAGGUCGUGUCAUACAUCUUGUAGCCCCAGGCUCUGUCAUAGUCCCUGUCAUCAUGUUUAAUGAAUUAAUGAGUACAGAAAAUACCAGUUGUCCUUAGAGGCCUGGCAGUAACAAGCCUUACUAUGUGCCCUAUACUGUACAUCCUCUUGUGAGCAUGCUAUCUUUGAGAGCAAAUCGAACAAACGGAAGCAUUAAUACAAGAACAUUUACCAAGGAUUAGGUGUGUUAAAAACAAGAGUCCAAAAGAGCUACAAGAUAAUACAUAUAAUCUAGUGAUUAUAUCCCUAGAAUAACUGCAUUAUAAAUGAAAAGAAAGGCAAUAGUUUACCAGCCAUUUUGCAAUCUUCUCUUAGAGAUAAAAACCUGGUAAGAACCUCGUUCCACAAUGCUUAUGUUAAAGUUUGAAUUUUGGCCUAAAAUUAAAAUCACAUUUGACACUACCAUACAAAAACUGGGUAUGAACUUUUGGUCCCUAAAAAGAACAUUGUUCUUGGAGUAUAGCUUUGCUGAGUGUUGGCAGAGUAACACUUCCUCACUUCCGAUUUUCCUUCCAUAUGGAGGCACCUUCCAUUAGAGUCCUGACCUUGCUGUGCCUUUACUCCUCUCCAGAGCAAGGAAGAGUGAAAGAAGGGAAUUCUAAAAUGCCCUCCUCUAGAAGUAUAUGAACAUUCUGCUUUGUCCUUCCAUGCCAUGGUUUGUAAGAACAGGCCCUGUGGGAGAGCUUAACAGUGGUGCAGUGAUGGCAAAGGCUGUCUGGGGUGCAGCAUCAGGAAGCCCGUUGUUGCCAUAGGUUUAAGCCGUGUUCUUUAACAUCAGUUUUAUCAGAAAUGAUGGUGACACUUUUAUCUUCAUCUGCCUGAAUGCCUACUUCUAAGUUGUUUUAGAAACAUAGUGGAGAACAGUUAGGUCUACUGGGCUUCCACAAACCCCAACAUGAAAAUGUUUGUUAAAUAGUAUGGAAGGUUUAUAAAUGUGGUUGCUCUUUGGAAUCCCAACCAAAAAGGAGGACAUUCUCUGACCAUUCUGAAUAAACCCACCAUAACAUA
rnacentral:lncRNA from 1 species